AAGUCGUAACAAGGUUUCCGUAGGUGAACCUGCGGAAGGAUCAUUAAUGAUUUGGCUCCGGCCUAUACCUUCUACCUCUGUGAACCGUGCCCCCGGCCUUUGAACAUUUGAUGUGUACGAACGUAGUAUAAUGAUAAUAAAAUAAAA
rnacentral:misc_RNA from 1 species